UACAGAGGGGGCAAGCGUUAUUCGGAAUUAUUGGGCGUAAAGGGCGCGUAGGCGGCCAUUCAAGUGACGGGUGAAAGCCCUCGGCUUAACCGAGGAACUGCCUGUCAGACUGGAUGGCUUGAGACCGGGAGAGGUGAGUGGAAUUCCCAGUGUAGCGGUGAAAUGCGUAGAUAUUGGGAGGAACACCAGUGGCGAGGGCGGCUCACUGGACCGGAACUGACGCUGAGGCGCGAAAGCGUGGGGAGCAAACAGG
rnacentral:rRNA from 1 species